rnacentral:rRNA from 1 species
CGAUUCUGGCUCAGGAUGAACGCUAGCGGCAGGCUAACACAUGCAAGUCGAGGGGCAUCGGGAGUAGCAAUACUUGCCGGCGACCGGCGCAAGGGUGCGUAACGCGUGAGCAACAUGCCCGUAUCAGGGGGAUAAUCCAUGGAAACGUGGUCUAAUACCCCAUAGUAAUUAUGUAAGGCAUCUUAUAUAAUUUAAAGCUUUGGUGGAUACGGAUUGGCUCGCGUGACAUUAGCUGGAUGGUAAGGUAACGGCUUACCAUGGCUACGAUGUCUAGGGGUUCUGAGAGGAAGGUCCCCCACACUGGAACUGAGACACGGUCCAGACUCCUACGGGAGGCAGCAGUGAGGAAUAUUGGACAAUGGAUGGAAAUCUGAUCCAGCCAUGCCGCGUGCAGGAAGACGGCCCUAUGGGUUGUAAACUGCUUUUGUAUGGGAGCAAUAAGGGCUACGUGUAGUCCGAUGAGAGUACCAUACGAAUAAGCACCGGCUAACUCCGUGCCAGCCGCCGC